ACGCUGGCGGCGUGCUUAACACAUGCAAGUCGAACGAGAAUCUGCGGAAAGAGGAUUCGUCCAAUUGAAGCAGAGGACAGUGGCGGACGGGUGAGUAACGCGUGAGGAACCUGCCUUUCAGAGGGGGACAACAGUUGGAAACGACUGCUAAUACCGCAUAACAUAUAGAUGUCGCAUGGCAUUUAUAUCAAAGAUUUAUCGCUGAAAGAUGGCCUCGCGUCUGAUUAGCUAGUUGGUGAGGUAACGGCCCACCAAGGCGACGAUCAGUAGCCGGACUGAGAGGUUGAACGGCCACAUUGGGACUGAGAUACGGCCCAGACUCCUACGGGAGGCAGCAGUGGGGAAUAUUGGGCAAUGGGCGCAAGCCUGACCCAGCAACGCCGCGUGAAGGAAGAAGGCUUUCGGGUUGUAAACUUCUUUUGUCAGGGACGAGUAGAAGACGGUACCUGACGAAUAAGCCACGGCUAACUACGUG
rnacentral:rRNA from 1 species